UACGAAGGGGGCUAGCGUUGUUCGGAAUUACUGGGCGUAAAGCGCACGUAGGCGGACAUUUAAGUCAGGGGUGAAAUCCCGGAGCUCAACUCCGGAACUGCCUUUGAUACUGGGUGUCUUGAGUGUGAAGAGGUGAGUGGAAUUCCGAGUGUAGAGGUGAAAUUCGUAGAUAUUCGGAGGAACACCAGUGCGAAGGCGGGUCUCUGGACAGUUCCUGACACUGAGACACGAAGGCCAGGGAGCAACGGGAUAGAA
rnacentral:rRNA from 1 species